GCACCUUUGUCUUUGGCGGCCCGGGGUUCACAGGUUCAGAUCACGGGUGCGGACCUCCACACUGCCUGUCAAGUCACGCCGUGGCAG